AACACAGUCCUGGAGCUCUAAGUCCUCUGUUAUCCCUGGAACAGAUACAAUAUGGGUAGCAGCAGUUCAAGUUUCCUCACACUGCCACAUCACUAUGUCUCAACCCUGACCUUGGAGGGACCAUCUCUAGGGUUGAGUUCCGUUUCUUUGUUCAUUCAGGCUAAA
rnacentral:sRNA from 1 species